rnacentral:rRNA from 1 species
GACGAACGCUGGCGGCGCGCCUAACACAUGCAAGUCGAACGAGAGAGAGGGAGCUUGCUUCCUCGAUCGAGUGGCGAACGGGUGAGUAACGCGUGAGGAACCUGCCUCAAAGAGGGGGACAACAGUUGGAAACGACUGCUAAUACCGCAUAAGCCCACGACCCGGCAUCGGGAAGAGGGAAAAGGAGCAAUCCGCUUUGAGAUGGCCUCGCGUCCGAUUAGCUAGUUGGUGAGGUAACGGCCCACCAAGGCGACGAUCGGUAGCCGGACUGAGAGGUUGAACGGCCACAUUGGGACUGAGACACGGCCCAGACUCCUACGGGAGGCAGCAGUGGGGAAUAUUGCACAAUGGGGGAAACCCUGAUGCAGCGACGCCGCGUGGAGGAAGAAGGUCUUCGGAUUGUAAACUCCUGUUGUUGAGGAAGAUAAUGACGGUACUCAACAAGGAAGUGACGGCUAACUACGUGCCAGCAGCCGCGGUAAAACGUAGGUCACAAGCGUUGUCCGGAAUUACUGGGUGUAAAGGGAGCGCAGGCGGGCGAUCAAGUUGGAAGUGAAAUCCAUGGGCUCAACCCAUGAACUGCUUUCAAAACUGGUCGUCUUGAGUAGUGCAGAGGUAGGCGGAAUUCCCGGUGUAGCGGUGGAAUGCGCAGAUAUCGGGAGGAACACCAGUGGCGAAGGCGGCCUACUGGGCACCAACUGACGCUGAGGCUCGAAAGUGUGGGUAGCAAACAGGAUUAGAUACCCUGGUAGUCCACACCGUAAA